CGAUACUUAGCCCAGUUUUAACUUUCAAAAGGAUAGGACUAGAUUCUAGAGACCAUACAAAUAAUAUAACGCAAUUUACUAACUUAACUGUACACCAACCUCUAAAUCUAGAUUCUAGAUCUAGAUCUACAUAUUUGUUUUUUUCUUUAGACAAACGUUUAAAACCACGCAAUGUCACUUCUUAAUUAUUUGCUUAACAAAAGAUUGAUCAUCCCGUUAUCGUUUGCUGGCCUGGCUGGUGCCAUGUGGUAUUACGGCCCAAAAGAAAAAGUCUAUGCACCCAAACCACUACCACAGUCAAAGAUUCCAUCAAGAAUAGAAUACAAAGGUUAAUUCCUAUUCAAGGCCUGAUGCAGAUUUGUUUUCUCUCACAUUAAUGGUUAUAAAUAAUUGUUGCCUGAUACAAAUUGUAUGAAUAUUGGAAUGUAAGUUUAUAUUUAGGUGCCAUAAAUCCAAAUAGUUUGAUAGAAGGGUCUUUCAAAAAUGUUACAACAUUGCAUCAAAAAUGGUAUGUCUAAAGUAAAUUAGCAUUACUUAGGUUUUUUUGUUUAUGAUGUGGCACAAGGGUGAAAAAAUUGUAUAUUAUAUGUAUGGUUGUCUCCAUAAUAAUCAACACAGAAAUGAAAUUUUUUCAUACAAUUUAUUAGAAAAUGUAAAAUAAGAUGAAUUCAUUAUAAAUAAGUUAUUAAAUAGAAUAAACAAUA